rnacentral:rRNA from 1 species
CCCUUAGAUGUCCUGGGCCGCACGCGCGCUACACUGACGAAGUCAGCGAGCAUGCCCUACGCCGACAGGCGCGGGGAAUCUUGUCAAACUUCGUCGUGAUGGGGAUUGAUUAUUGAAAUUCUUGAUCAUCAACGAGGAAUUCCUAGUAAGCGCAAGUCAGCAGCUUGCGUUGAUUACGUCCCUGCCCUUUGUACACACCGCCCGUCGCUACUACCGAUUGAAUGGUUUAGUGAGAUCUUCGGAUUGGCGCCACUGCGGCUCAGCAAUGGGCUCGGUGGAUGCCGAAAAGUUGAUCAAACUUGAUCAUUUAGAGGAAGUAAAAGUCGUAACA